AUUUUUUUUUGGUUUUUCUUAAGGUUUAUUAAACACACAAGAAGAAAGCAUAAAAAGGAAAAUAAACUAGCAUGGAUGAUACAAUGAAAAAGUAUGAGCACCGACAUCUAGCAAUGAGUGUGUGAAUAUAAAUGUAAUGUCGAUGGGAAAUACGUACUCCCCCAAGCUUAGGCUUUUGGCCUAAGUUGGUCUAUGGCCAUGGCUGGCCUGGCGGAUAUCCAUAAUAGUAGCUGGGGCCGUACUGCGAUGCAGCAACUAUCGCCUGCUGAGCUGCAGCGCGGCGAUGAGCGGCCUCCUCUCUCCUCUCAUACUCAUCUACCUCCUCUAUGGUAAUAGUAUAUCUUCCUCUUGCCUGAUAAUAAAAGAAGGCAGGAGCAGGGAGAGUAAUAUGGACAGCACGGCGUCUGUCAAAGAUUAGUCGAUACUGGAGAGGUGAUUCGUUCCUCUCAACAAACUGGUGGUGAACCAUAGCAUUAAAAUCUACAUAAGCAGGAGGUAAUUCAAUAUCAUCUUCGCGUAUGGCUACACCAAGAAAAUUAGCUAUGCGGGUUGCAUAAAUCCCACCGAAGAAAUCUCCAUUAAAUCUAUUAAGAUGCAACCUACAUGCAACAAUGGAUCCCAAAUUAUAAGAUUUGUCUCCUAACACAGCACUCCUAAGAAUACUGAGGUCAGGGACACACAUGUGACAUGCUUCAUCUUUACCAUUUAUGCAUCUACCUAUGAAGAGAGCAAAAUAAUGUAUAGUAGGAAAGUGAAUGAUCCCUAUGGUAGCUUGUGUAAUAUCUCUAGAUUCUCCCACAGUUAUGCUAGCAAGAAAAUCUCUAAAUUCAGAUUUGCGAAGAUCCCUUAUACUACCACAUUAUGGAAGUUUGCAUGCAGUUGUAAAAUCCUCUAAGUCCACAGUGUAAGAAUUAUCAUAAAGAUCAAACAGGACAGUUGGAGAAUUACGUGAAGUUGAAAAUUCAAACCUCCUCACAAAGGUACUGGUGAGGUUAUGAUACUGGCUGCACUUCUCUUCCUCGAAGCUCACGAGAUCAGCAUUAUGCAAAUAUGCAUUGAAUUCAUCCUUAAUUCCCGCUCGAUCCAUAAAGUUCUCAGAAGUCCAUUCACAAGGACGCACUAGAGCGUCUCUUGGUGGCUCGUCAUCAGCAUCACGCAUUGCAAGCCUGGGUCCUUGCUUCUUUGAAGAACCACCUUGGAACAUUUCCCUAAGCAUAUUUCUUCCUCUGAAAAAUUCUGAAAUUUUUUAGUAACUUCAAAAUAAAAGUAAACCAAACUCAAUAAUAUUGAUAGCAACUACUCCUACAAGUGCCUAGGGCCUAUAUCAUGCAUCAAAACUACUUUUGACCAUAUAAAUUUGACAUGCAAGCUCAAGAACAGGGUCACCUAAGCAGCAAAAUUUUGCAAUGAAUAAAGCACUAGAACAAAAACUAAUUGGACCAAUGGAGGAGUCACAUACCAAGGAACAAUCUCCCCAAGAAGUUUUGUGAGAGGUGCUUUGAGCAAAGAGAUCGAAAAUGGCAGCAAAGUGAGCUAGAACUCGUGCUUGAGCUGGAUAUUCGUGUUUGUGGGAGGAAAAGGAGUGUGUGGGUGAAAGGAUAAGCGGAGGAGGGCCACCGUGGGCCCACGAGGCACGGGGCGCGCCCUCCACCCUCGUGGGCAGGUGGUUGACCCCCCUACUGUGUUCUUAGUGCCAAAUAUUCUCAAAUAUUCUAGAAAAAAUCAUAUUUAAAUUUCAGGGCAUUUGGAGAACUUUUAUGUUUGAGGUAUUUUUAUAUUGCACGGAUAAUCAGAUAACAGACAGAAAAAUAUUUGUUUUUAUUUUAUUUAAUAUAAAUAUCAGAAAGUAAAAGUGGGGUACAGAAGGUUGUGCCUUCUAGUUUCAUCCAUCUCAUGAUCAUCAAAAGGAAUCCACUAACAAGGUUGAUCAAGUCUUGUCAACGAACUCAUUCCGAAUAACAUGGAACCGGAGAAAUUUCGAAUAACACUAUGUUACCUCAAUGUGGAUAUGCACCUCCCCAAUAAUAAGAAUAUCAUAUUUCUUCUUGACAGUAGGAAGAGGAAAUUCAAAACCUCCAAAUAUAAUCGAUGGAAUUUUUCCAAUAGAGUUGAUACUAUGAACUUGAGGUUGUUUCCUCGGAAAGUAUACUGUAUGCUCAUUACCAUUAACAUGAAAAGUAACAUUGCCUUUAGUGCAAUCAAUAAUAGCCACUAUAGUAUUUAAAAAGGGUCUUCCAAGAAUAAUAGACAUACUAUCGUCCUCGGGAAUAUCAAGAAUAACAAAGUCCGUUAAAAUAGUAACGUUUGCAACUACAACAGGCACAUCCUCACAAAUACCGACAGGCAUAGCAGUUGAUUUAUCAGCCAUUUGCAAAGAUAUUUCAGUAGGUGUCAACUUAUUUAAAUCAAGUCUACGAUAUAAAGAGAGAGGCAUAAGACUAACACCGGCUCCAAGAUCACAUAAAGCAGUUUUAACAUAGUUUCUUUUAAUAGAGCAUGGUAUAGUGGGUACUCCUGGAUCUCCAAGUUUCUUUGGUAUUCCACCCUUAAAAUUAUAAUUAGCAAGCAUGGUGGCAAUUUCAGCUUCCGGUAUCUUUCUUUUAUUUGUAAUAAUAUCUUUCAUGUACUUAGCAUAAGGAUUUGUUUUGAGCAUAUCAGUUAAUCGCAUACGCAAAAAGAUAGGUCUAAUCAUUUCAGCAAAGCGCUCAAAAUCCUCAUCAUCCUUUUUCUUGGAUGGUUUGGGAGGAAAAGGCAUGGGUUUCUGAACCCAGGGCUCUCUUUCUUUACCAUGUUUCCUAGCAACAAAAUCUUUCUUAUCAUAACGUUGAUUCUAUGAUUGUGGGUUAUCAAGAUCAACAGCAGGUUGAAUUUCUAUAUCAUUAUCAUUACUAGGUUGAGCAUAUCAUGAACAUUAUCAUUAGCAUUAUUACUAGUUUCAGGUUCAUUACCAGAUUGAGUUUUAGCAUCAGAAAUAGAAAUAUCAUCUGGAUUCUCAGGUGUUUCAACAAUAGGAUCACUAGAAGCAUGCAAAGUCCUAUCAUUUUUCUUUUUCUUCUUUUUAGAAGAACUAGGUACAUCUAUAUUAUUUCUCUGCGAAUCUUGCUCAAUUCUCUUAGGGUGGCCUUCGGGAUACAAAGGUUCCUGAGUCAUUCUACCAGUUCUAGUAGCCACUCUAACAUCAUUAUCAUUAUCUUUACUAUUCAAUUCAUUGAGCAAAUCAUUUUGGGCUUUAAGUACUUGUUCUACUUGAGUGGUAACCAUAGAAGCAUGUUUACUAAUAAGUUUAAGUUCACCUUUGACAUUAGCCAUAUAAUCACCCAAGUGUUCAAGCAUAUUUGAAUUGUAUUUCAAUUGUCUACCAAAAUAAGCAUUAAAGUCUUCUUGCUUAGCCAUAAAUUUAUCAAACUCAUCUAAGCAUGGGCUAGCAAAUUUAGUAAAUGGGAUUUCAGCUUUAUCAUAUCUAUAGAGAUAAUUUACCUUUACUACCUGUGUCGGGUUAUCAAGACCAUGAGUUUCUUCAAUAGGUAAUGAAUUAAGAUUAAAUGUUUCUUCAAUAGGCGGUAAAUUAAGACCAUGUAUUUCUUCAGUAGGAGGUAAAUUCUUAACAUCUUCAGCUUUAAUACCUUUUUCUUUCAUAGAUUUCUUUGCCUCUUGCAUAUCUUCGGGACUGAGAAAUAGAACACCCCUCUUCUUUGGAGUUGGUUUAGGAAUAGGCUCAGGAAUUGGCCCCGGAGGUGUCCAAUUAUUUUCAUUUGUCAACAUAUUAUUCAAUAGAAUUUCAGCUUCAUCCGGUGUUCUUUCCCUGAAAACAGAACCAGCACAACUAUCCAGGUAAUCUCUGAAGGCAUCGAUUAGUCCAUUAUAAAAGAUAUCAAGUAUUUUAUUUUUCUUAAGAGGAUGAUCAGGCAAAGCAUUAAGUAAUUGGAGAAGCUUCCCCCAAGCUUGUGGGAGACUCUCUUCUUCAAUUUGCACAAAAUUAUAUAUAUCCCUUAAAGCAGCUUGUUUCUUAUGAGCAGGGAAAUAUUUAGCAAAGAAGUAAUAAAUCAUAUCCUGGGGACUACGCACACAACCAGGAUCAAGAGAAUUAAAUCAUAUCUUAGCAUCACCCUUUAAUGAGAACGGAAAUAUUUUAAGGAUAUAAAAGUAACGAGUUCUCUCAUCUUUAGUGAACAGGGUGGCUAUAUCAUUCAGUUUAGUAAGAUGUGCCACAAUAGUUUCAGAUUCAUAACAAUGAAAGGAUCAGAUUCAACCAAAGUAAUUAUAUCAGGAUCAACAGAGAAUUCAUAAUCCUUAUUGGUAACAAAGAUAGGUGAAGUAGCAAAAGCAGGGUCAGGUUUCAUUCUAGCAUUUAGAGAUUGCUUACUCCAUUUAGCUAAUAAUAUUUUGAGUUCAUUUAUAUUUUUGCAAGCUAAAAUAGCUAAAGAAGCUUCUUGAUCAAAAACAUAACCCUUAGGAAUAAGAAGUGAUUCUUCAUCAUCACUUUCAUCAGUAUCAUCAGAUUCAAUAUUUUCAAUCUCUCUAGCCCUAGCAAGUUGUUCAUCAAGAAAAUCCCUAAGUGGCACAGUAGUAUCAGGCAUAGAGGUAGUUUCAUCAUAAGUAUCAUGCAUAGCAGAACUGGCAUCAUCAAUAACAUGCGACAUAUCAGAACGAAUAGCAGAAGCAGGUGUAGGUGUCGCAAGCUUACUCAUAACAGAAGGUGAAUCAAGUCCAGAGCUAGAUGGCAGUUCCUUACCUCCCCUCGUAGUUGAGGGAUAGAUCUUGGUUUUUGGAUCUCUCAAGUUCUUAAUAAUGAUAAGCAGAUAUAUAUCCCAAGUGACUCAAAGAAUAGAGCUAUGCUCCCCGGCAACGGCACCAGAAAAUUGUCUUGAUAACCCGCAAGUAUAGGGGAUCGCAACAGUUUUCUAGGGUAAAGUAUUCAACCCAAAUUUAUUGAUUCGACACAAGAGGAGCCAAAGAAUACUCUCAAGUAUUGGUAGCUGAGUUGUCAAGUCAACCACACCUGGAAACUUAAUAUCUGCAGCAAAGUAUUUAGUAGCAAAGUAAUAUGAUAGUAGUGAUAACGGUAACAAAAGGUAACGGUAGUAAAAGCAAUGUUUUUGGUAUUUCGUAGUGAUGAUAGCAAUAGCAACGGGAAAGUAAAUAAUCGAAGAACAAUAUGUCCAAAGCUCGUAGGCAAUGGAUCGGUGAUGGAGAAUAAUGCCAGAUGCGGUUCAUCAUGUAACACUCAUGACCUAGGGUGACAUAGAACUAGCUCCAGUUCAUUGAUAUAAUGUAGGCAUGUAUUCCAAACAUAGUCAUAUGUGCUUAUGGAAAAGAACUUGCAUGACAUCUUUUGUACUACCCUCCCGUGGAAGCGGGGUCCUUACGGAAACUAAGGGAUAUUAAGGCCUCCUUUUAAUAGAGAACCGGAACAAAGCAUUAACACAUAGUGAAUACAUGAACUCCUCAAACUACGGUCAUCACCGGUAAGUAUCCCGAUUAUUGUCACUUCGGGGUUAACGGAUCAUAACACAUAAUAGAUGAUUAUAGACUUGCAAGAUAGGAUCAAGAACACUCAUAUAUUGAUGAAAACAUAAUAGGUUCAGAUCUGAAAUCGUGGCACUCGGGCCCUAGUGACAAGCAUUAAGCAUAGCAAAGUCAUAGCAACAUCAAUCUCAGAACAUAGUGGACACUAGGGAUCAAACCCUAACAAAACUAACUCGAUUACAUGAUAGAUCCCAUCAAACCCAUCACUGUCCAGCAAGCCUACGAUGGAAUUACUCACGCACGGCAGUGAGAAUCAUGAAAUUGGUGAUGGGGGAUGGUUGAUGAUGACGAUGGCGACAGAUUCCCCUCUCUGGAGCCCCGAACGGACUCCAGAUUAGCCCUCCCGAGAGGUUUUAGGGCUUGGCGGCGGCUCCGUAUCGUAAAACGCGAUGAUUUCUUCUCCCUAAUUUUUUCUCCCCGAAACACAAUAUAUGGAGUUGGAGUUGGAGUCGGAGAGGCAACAGGGGGCCCACGAGGUAGGGGCACACCUCCCACCCUCGUGGAGAGGUGGUGGGCCCCUGGCCUUCAUCUUUUGCAGGUAUUUUUCUUAUUUUCUAAAAAGUGGCUCCAUGAAGUUUCAGGUCAUUCUGAGAACGUUUGUUUCUGCACAUAAAUAACACCAUGGUAAUUCUACUAAAAACAGCGUCAGUCCGGGUUAGUUCCAUUCAAAUCAUGCAAGUUAGAGUCCAAAACAAGGGCAAAAGUGUUUGGAAAAGUAGAUACGACAGAGACGUAUCAAUGCCCCCUCCGGCUUAGUGCCGGAAAAGGCCCCAAGAUGGGAUCUCUUGGGUACAGAAGGUUGCGGCGGUGGAAAUAGGGUUUCGUGGUGCUCCUGGAUGUUUUCAGGGUAUAUGAGUAUAUAUAGGCGAAGGAAGUCGGUCAAGAGAGCCACGAGGGGCCCACGAGGGUGGGAGGUGCACCCAGGGGGGCAGGCGCGCCUCCCUGCCUCGUGGCCUCCUCGGUUCUUUCUUGACGUCCACUCCAAGUCCUCUGGAUCACGUUUGUUCCAAAAAUCACUCUCCCGGAGGUUUCAUUCCGUUUGGACUCCGUUUGAUAUUCCUUUUCUGCAGAACACUGAAAUAGGCAAAAAAACAGCAAUUUGCACUGGGCCUUGGAUUAAUAGGUUAGUCUCGAAAAUAAUAUAAAAGUGUAUAAUAAAGCCCAUUAAACAUCCACAACAGAAUAUAUAAUAGCAUGGAGCAAUCAAAAAUUAUAGAUACGUUGGAGACGUAUCAUGGACCUAGUCCGUGUAGUUGCUCCCAUCAUCUUUCAAUUUAGCUUUCUCUAGGAACGCAUUAAAAUUCAACGGAACAAUAGCACGGGCCAUCUAUCUAUAAUAACAUAGACAUGCAAAAUACUAUUAGGUACUAAGUCCAUGCUAAAUUAAAGUUCAAUUAAUCAUAUUACUUAAGAACUCCCACUUAGAUAGACAUCCCUCUAAUCAUCUAAGUGAUCCAUAUCAACUAAACCAUGUCCGAUCAUCACAUGAGAUGGAGUAGUUUUCAAUGAUGAAUAUCACUAUGUUGAUCAUAUCUACUAUAUGAUUCACGCUCCACCUUUCGGUCUCAGUGUUCCGAGGCCAUAUCUGCAUAUCCUAGGCUCGUCAAGUUUAACCCGAGUAUUCCACGUGUGCAAAACUGGCUUGCACCCGUUGUAUGUGAACAUAGAGCUUAUCACACCCAAUCAUCACGUGGUGUCUCGGCACGACGAACUGUAGCAACGGUGCAUACUCAGGGAGAACCCUUGUACCUUGAAAUUUAGUGAGUGAUCAUCUUAUAAUUCUACCGCCGAACUAAGCAAAAUAAGAUGCAUAAAUGAUAAACAUCACAUGCAAUCAAUAUAAGUGAUAUGAUAUGGCCAUCAUCAUCUUGUGCCUUUGAUCUCCAUCUCCAAAGCACCAUCAUGAUCACCAUCAUCACCGGCUUGACACCUUGAUCUCCAUGGAAGCAUACUGCUUAGUGAUAAAGUAAAGCAAUUACAUGGAGAUUGCAUUUCAUACAAUAAAGCGACAACCAUAUGGUUCCUGCCAGUUGCCGAUAACUCUGUUACAAAACAUGAUCAUCUCAUACAAUAAAAUUUAGCAUCAUGUCUUGACCAUAUCACAUCACAACAUGCCCUGCAAAAACAAGUUAGAUGUCCUCUACUUUGUUGUUGCAAGUUUUACGUGGCUGCUACGGGCUGAGUAAGAACUGUUCUUACCUACGCAUCAAAAACCACAACACGGUAUAGUGAUUGCUUUUUUAUCUUCAGAAAGAACCUUGUUCAUCGAAUCCGAUUCAACUAAAGUUGGAUAAACUGACACCCACUAGCCACCUUUGUGCGAAGCACGUCGGUAGAACCAGUCUCGCGUAAGCGUACGUGUAAUGUCUGUCUGAGCCGCUUCAUCCAACAAUACCGCUAAAUCAAGAAUCAACUAGUGAUGGCAAGCAAUAUGUAUAUACCCACGCCCACAACUCCUUUGUGUUCUACUCGUGCAUAUAACAUCUAUGUAUAGACCUCGCUCUGAUACCACUGUUGGGAAACGCAGUAAUUUUAAAAAAAUUCCUACACACACGCAAGAUCCAUCUAGGUGAUUGAUACGUCUUCAACGUAUCUAUAAUUUUUGUUUGUUCCAUGCUAUUAUAUUAUCAACCCUGGAUGUUUUAUAUGCAUUUAUAUGCUAUUUUAUAUGAUUUUUGGGACUAACCUAUUAACCUAGAGCCCAGUUCCAGUUUCUAUUUUUUCCUUGUUUUAGAGUAUCGCAGAAAAGGAAAAUCAAACGGAGUCCAAUUGACCUGAAACUUCACGAAACUUAUUUUCGGACCAGACGAAGCCCACGGAGUAUCGGAGAUGGACCAGAAGAGUCCCGGGCUACCCACGAGGGUGGGGGCGCGCCCCCUGCCUCGUGGACAGCCCGGAGAUCCACCGACGUACUUCUUCCUCCUAUAUAUAUCCAUAUACCCUAAAAACUUCGGGGAGCAGAAUAGAUCGGGAGUUCCACCGCCAGAAGCCUCCAUAGCCACCAAAAACCAAUCUAGACCCGUUUCGGCACCCUGCCGGAGGGGGGAAUCCCUCUCCGGUUGCCAUCUUCAUCAUCCCGGCGCUCUCCAUGACGAGGAGGGAGUAGUUCACCUUGGGGCUGAGGGUAUGUACCAGUAGCUAUGUGUUUGAUCUCUCUCUGUCUCAUGUUCUUGAGGUGAUACGAUCUUCAUGUAUCGCGAGCUUUGCUAUUAUAGUUGGAGCUUAUGAUGUUUCUCCCCCUCUACUCUCUUGUAAUGGAUUGAGUUUUCCCUUUGAAGUUAUCUUUUCAGAUUGAGUCUUUAAGGAUUUGAGAACACUUGAUGUAUGUCUUGCACGUGCUUAUCUAUGGUGACAAUGGGAUAUCAUGUGAUCCACUUGAUGUAUGUUUUGGUGAUCAAUUUGCGGGUUCCGCCCAUGAACCUAUGCAUAGGGGUUGGCACACGUUUUCGUCUUGACUCUCUGGUAGAAACUUUGGGGCAUUCUUUGAAGUUCUUUGUGUUGGUUGAAUAGAUGAAUCUGAGAUUGUGUGAUGCAUAUCGUAUAAUCAUACCCACGGAUACUUGAGGUGACAUUGGAGUAUCUAGGUGACAUUAGGGUUUUGGUUGAUUUGUGUCUUAAGGUGUUAUUCUCGUAUGAACUCUAUGAUAGAUUGAACGGAAAGAAUAGCUUCAUGUUAUUUUACUACGGACUCUUAAAUAGAUCGAUCAGAAAUGAUAACUUUGAGGUGGUUUCGUACCCUACCAUAAUCUCUUCGUUUGUUCUCCGCUAUUAGUGACUUUGGAGUGACUCUUUGUUGCAUGUUGAGGGAUAGUUAUAUGAUCCAAUUAUGUUAUUAUUGUUGAGAGAAUUUGCACUAGUGAAAGUAUGAACCCUAGGCCUUGUUUCAACGCAUUGCAGUACCGUUUGUGCUCACUUUUAUCAUUAGUUACCUUGCUGUUUUUAUAUUUUCAGAUUACAAAAACCUAUAUCUACCAUCCAUAUACCACUUGUAUCACCAUAUCUUCGCCAAACUAGUGGACCUAUACAAUUUACCAUUGUAUUGGGUGUGUUGGGGACACAAUAGACUCUUUGUUAUUUGGUUGCAGUGUUGCUUGAGAGAUACCAUCUUGAUCCUGCGCCUCCUACGGAUUGACAAACAUUAGGUCAUCCACUUGAGGGAAAUUUGCUACUGUCCUACAAACCUCUGCACUUGGAGGCCCAACAACGUCUACAAGAAGAAGGUUGUGUAGUAGACAUCAGUGAUGCAUAGCAACAAUAGGGGAGAGUGUUUUCUACAUACCCUCGUAGACCGUAAGCGGAAGCGUUAUGACAACGUGGUUGAUGUAGUCGUACGUCUUCACGAUCCAACCGAUCCUAGCACCGAAGGUACGGCACCUCCGCGAUCUGCACACGUUCAGCUCGACGACGUCCCACAAACUCUAGAUCCAGCUGAGUGUCAGGGGAGAGCUUCGUCAGCAUGACGGCAUGAUGACGGUGAUGACGAAGUUACCGACGCAGGGCUUCGCCUAAGCACUACAACGAUAUGACCGAGGUGGAAAUCCGUGAAGGGGGCCACGAUUUUUUUUUGAAACUAUGACAUUUUUUAUAGCAAAUUCGGAAACUAUAUGGCCUAAUGUGUUAUUUGCAAAACUAUGACCCCGUCGGCCUCUUUUAGGCCGAAGACCAACUUUUUGGUCAGCACUAGGCCGAAGUAGACUCUUCGGUCUCCUAAUGGCCGAAGACAGGCAUAGAUGGGCAGAAGUGCUGUUUUCGGCUUUGCUUUGGCCGAAGACCACUCUUCGGUCAUCUUUUGGCCGAAGAGCGCCCGGCCGGCAAUCGAUGCAUGCGUAGCGUACAUAUGAUGCUAGACUGAUGCAUCGAAGGGCUGAUCGGUAUUGCAUGUGGUUCAUGUGUGGCUAAUGCAUGCAUCAGGACCGAGAUAGCAAUGCAUGCAUCAGGACUUGGUGCAUACGUACUAGCACACACGCAUGCCGCCAACGUGCGCACAUGUAUUGGCGGAGAAGUAAUGGCUGAAAUACCAGUACAAUAUAUGUACCCGAUAUAGUCCAGCCGGCAAGCACGCGUAUGUAUACAAAUACGUGCACACAACCAGCCAGCCGGCGAGCUGCCCACGUACUAAACACAUGCAUCGGCAUAGAAUCUCGGUGCAGCUAACGUGUGUGCACACGUUCAGGUCGUCGGUGCCGUACGCCGGAGUGCGCAGCAGUGUGCUUAUGAGCUCUUCGGCCAAAAGAUGACCGAAGAGUGGUCUUCGGCCCGAGCAAAGCCGAAAACAGCUCUUCGGCCCAGCUGCGCCCAUCUUCGGCCAUUAGGAGACUGAAAAGUCUAUUUCGGCCUAGUGCUGACCGAAAAGUUGGUCUUCGGCCUAAAAAAGGCCGACGGGGUCAUAGUUUUACAAAUAACACUUUAGGUCAUAUAGUUUCCGAAUUUGCUAUAAAAAGAUCAUAGUUUCAAAAAAAUAGGGGGGCACCGCACACGGCUAAGAUAUCAACUUGUGUGUCUAUGGGGUGCCCCCUCCCCCGUAUAUAAAGGAGUGGAGGAGGGGAGGGCCGGCCCUAUCUAUGGUGCGUCCUAGGGGGAGUCCUACUCCCACCGGGAGUAGGAUUCCCCCUUUCCCUAGUUGGAGUAGGAGAGAAGGAAGGGGAAGAGAGAGGGAAGGAAGGGGGCGACCCCCCACCCAAUUCGGAUUGGGCUAGGGGGGCGCGCUCUCCACCUUGGCCUUCCUCUCCUCUAUUCCACUAAGGCCCAAUAAGGCCCAUAUACUCCCCGGGGGUUUCGGUAACCCCCGGUACUCCGGUAAAUGCCUGAACUCACCCGGAACCAUUUCGAUGUCCAAACAUAGGCUUCCAAUAUAUCGAUCUUUAUGUCUCGACCAUUUCAAGACUCCUCGUCAUGUCCGUGAUCAUAUCCGGGACUGCGAACUACCUUCGGUACAUCAAAACACAUAAACUCAUAAUACCGAUCAUCACCGAACGUUAAGCGUGCGGACCCUACGGGUUCGAGAACUAUGUAGACAUGACCGAGACUCAUGUACGGUCAAUAACCAAUAGUGUAACCUAUAUGCUCAUAUUGGUUCCUACAUAUUCUAUGAAGAUCUUUAUCGGUCAAACCGCAUAACAACAUGCGUUGUUCCCUUUGUCAUCGGUAUGUUACUUGCCCGAGAUUCGAUCGUCGGUAUCUCAAUAUCUAGUUCAAUCUCGUUACCGGCAAGUCUCUUUACUCGUUCUGUAAUGCUACAUCCCGUAACUAACUCAUUAGUCACAUUGCUUGCAAGGCUUAUAGUGAUGUGCAUUACCGAGAGGGCCCAGAGAUACCUCUCCGAUACACGGAGUGACAAAUCCUAAUCUCGAUAUAUGCCAACUCAACAAACACCAUCGGAGACACCUAUAGAGCAUCUUUAUAAUCACCCAGUUACGUUGUGACGUUUGAUAGCACACUAAGUGUUCAUCCGGUAUUCGGGAGUUGCAUAAUCUCAUAGUCAUAGGAACAUGUAUAAGUUAUGGAGAAAGCAAUAACAAUAAACUAAACGAUCAAAGUGCUAAGCUAACAGAUGGGUCAAGUCAAUCACAUCAUUCUCUAAUGAUGUGAUCCCGUUCAUCAAAUGACAACUCAUGUCUAUGGCUAGGAAACUUAACAAUCUUUGAUUAACGAGCUAGUCAAGUAGAGGCAUACUAGUGACACUCUGUUUGUCUAUGUAUUCACACAUGUACUAAGUUUCCGGUUAAUACAGUUCUAGCAUGAAUAAUAAACAUUUAUCAUGAUAUAAGGAAAUAUAAAUAACAACUUUAUUAUUGCAUCUGGGGCAUAUUUCCUUCAUGUGAGUGGGGGCCACGACCAUGGGUGUGGGUGGCAGCUGUGGGUGGUGUUGGUGGUGACCGUGGCCAUGGGUGUGGGUGAUUGUGGAAUGAGAGGCGAGGACGGCCAUGGCUUACUGGCCGAGGCAGGCGCAAGGGCGACGUGGGCGGCGACAAGGAUGACGAGGCUGACGGCGGCUGUAGACAGCGAGGGCGAUGUGGGCGGCGAGGACGAGGCGAUGGCGGCGAAGGAAGAGAUGGGAGAGCGAGAGUGAGUGAGUGAGUGAGUGAAGUGGUGGGGAGGGUCGUGCAUGUGUGUGGAUAAUUUUUGGCGGUGCGACGGGUGAGACAGAAGGCCUGCCACUGCUACUUUAGAGUGGCAGGCGGCUUUGCAGACCUGCCACAAGCAGAGUUCUGAUUUUUGGCCGAAAUUCGGCCAUCUUGGCCUGGCCCGGUAGAUGUCUUUACCGGCACAAUAUUUUCAGCCCAGUUUGAAUUUUUCUAACCCAACCCAAGUUCCGGAGCCUUCCCAUAUGCUUUGCCUUAGUUAAAACGCUUGAACCGUAUACCCAAACCCCGACGAAGAUGAAACCGAAUGCAAAGUUUCGUCCCUGACGGAGCUCAUUUACGGUUUGGAUAUAUGGUUUACAGACCCUGCAUUUAUUAUAUGCUUUGCCUCGGUUAAAUCAAACUUCAUUUCUUGAAAUCAUUUUAGAUCCAAACUUUCUCAGAGAUUAGUACACACUAUCAAAAUCCCCAUGACCAAAUUUUAGGACUUUUUGAGUUAAUUUUCCAUUUUCGAGACAUUAAAUGACUUGCUGGCAACUAAAAGUGGUAGGACAACCCUCUCGUGUAAGAAAUAGCAGGUAAACGAGCUCCGAAAGAGAUGAAACUUUGCAUUCUAUCUUCAUUAGACACAUGUAGGGUGUGUAAAAAAAUUGAGGGCAUAUACUCCCUCCGUCCCAAAAUAAGUGUCGUUGAAGAACUAGGGGUAGCUUAGUGGCAAGGGAACAUAGUAGUGUAUCAUGCGCACUAAGGGGCUGUUUGGUUCCCAGCCACACCUUGCCACACUUUGUCACACCUAACUUUAGGCAAAUUUGAUCAAGUUAGGUAGGUGUUUGGUUCUUUUUUUUCUUGAAUACGCACGAGUGUGCGUAUCAUAUAUUAAAGAGGAAAGGGAAAAGACUCCCUCCAUGUUCGGAAAGUUACACGAGUAUUUACAAGUGGAUUUGAUCCACUCCGCAACAUCUUAAGCGAACUACUCGGCCCUGACCCACACCUCAAGGCCGUCCAAAAAUGCCUCGACUUCUCCCUUCAGUAGACCAGCAAGCAUCCAUGCUUGGGCUUCUCUCUGUAUGUUUCGUAGGACCUGACGAGUGGCAGGCGUUGCUCCGUCAAACACCACAGCGUUUCGGUGUGUCCACAGCUCCUAGAGGACGAGAAUGCAAAUUGGCCUUGCGAGUUUCUUGUGUUUCCCAUAGUCCUCUUGUCGAAGGCACCAGUCAGGCAGCGUCUCGUUCGUCGUUGGUGCCCGGUCUGGCUGGCCCGGGGCAAGGCAAACCUUUGUCCAAACCUCCCGAGCAAAAACACAUCCGAUCAUGAUGUGUGUCAUUGUUUCGUCGUGCUGGCUACAGAGGGGACAUGAGGCUUGGUGUGGGAGGCCCCGCCGUGCUAAUCUAUCUGAGGUCCAGCACCUGUCCUUGAUGGCCAACCAAACGAAGAAACGCUUGCGUAGCGGCGCCUUAGACUUCCAGGUGAAAUCAGCCGUAGGAGUGACUUGGAGGUCGGCGAACUUGGCCGCGUAAACCGAUCUCGCCGAAAACUUGUCGUCCUUCUCCCAAGCCCAGUAGACGGUGUCGCUUGAUGUCGGUUGGAUGUUGAGCCGUUCCACACGCUGCCAUAGGUCGAGGAAUUGUCGAAGCAUGGUUGUAGACAGGUUUGGCCCCACUUCCGCUGCCCAAUUUUGAUCCACCAGAGCAACAGCCACCGUGCGAGUCGCCCUGAUUUGUCCUGGUAUUUCUUUGUAAAGGAGUGGCGCCAGCUCCUCGAUCCGAUAGCCCUCAAGCCAUCUAUCUUCCUAGAAGAGCGUUGUCGUGCCAUCGCCCACGAAUGUUGCAGCCGCCGCGCGAAAGAGCGCCAUUGAUUCGGCCGGGGCCGAGAUCUUUAACUGAGCCCAGGGCCGGGACUGGUCAGUGCGUUGCAACCACGGCCAUCUCGCCAACAGUGCAGUGCUCAACCAUCUUAGGUUCGGUAUGCCAAGGCCACCCGCCCAUCUGGGUCGGCAAAUUGAGUCCCAUGCCACUGCGCAAUUCCCUCCAUGAGCUUCCAUUUUCCCACACCAAAGGAAGCCGCGACAAAUCUUUGUCAAAGCUGUGAUAGUCUUGUGUGGGAUCUGAAGUGCCAUCAUCGCAUGAACCGGAAUCGCGCACAGCCGCUUUCCAGUUGGAUUGGUUCUAACCACACCUAAGGCAAGGAUUUUUUUUAUGAGUAGUGAACCACACAUGUUAUAGACAUAAAAAGUGUGGCAAGAUUCCCUUAGCCAAGCCAAAGUGUGACUAAUAAUUUGAGCAACUCAACUAAGGCAAAUGUGGCAAGUGUGACAAAAAAUCAUAUGGCAAUAUAUGGCAAAGAUGAUCACAAUCCAAACAGGCCAGUGACACUUAUUUCCCUAAAAAAAGAGUCAGUGACAUUUAUUGACGGAGGGAGUACUGUAUUAUGUAUAGCUGACCUGCUGAUAUAUAUGGUACAUACAAGAGUUGCAACCAAUUUAUAUAUGUUAAUUUAUUACAAUAAUGUACAAAUGUACAAGUGUACAAGUGCAACCAUAACAUGCACGCAGAACCACCUAUCCUUCUCUCAUCUCUGACAGUAGAGACGAGAGAAAAAAAGGUCGCAAAAACCACCAACCCAAAACCAUUUCUCAAGGUGAGCUAAACGUUCUGUUCCCGGCCCUUCUCCACUGCCGGAAUCACCAAGGAAAGAAACGAAAAAGGACAAAAUCAUUCCUGACGAACAAAAUAGACACUAAUUAAAGCAGCUUCGACAAAUUUUUGUGUGUGGGUGUGUGUAAUUUCAUGCCAUGCCCGUGACUGACGAGCACGACGCAAUCUGUACCCCGCGCGCAGCAAUCGACACGCACGGUGCAACGGCCUGGCUAGG
rnacentral:lncRNA from 1 species